UACCAGCAACCCGAGUGGUCGGGACGAUUAUUGGGCCUAAAGCCUCCGUAGCCGGUUCUGCAAGUCCUCCGGUAAAUCCAACUGCUUAACAGAUGGGCCGCGGAGGAUACUACAGAGCUAGGAGGCAGGAGAGGCAAGCGGUACUCAGUGGGUAGGGGUAAAAUCCGUUGAUCCAUUGAAGACCACCAGUGGCGAAGGCGGCUUGCCAGAAUGCGCUCGACGGUGAGGGAUGAAAGCUGGGGGAGCAAACCGG
rnacentral:rRNA from 1 species